CUAUUGCGUUAGGGAUAGCAAUGGAAAUCCUUUUUUGAGGCUUUUUUCGGCCUCAAAAAAGAUUAUUUCACAAUAUUAUAUUUCUUUUGGAGUUCAAUGAACGUUGUUUGAAACGGAUAGCCCGACCCUUG
rnacentral:sRNA from 1 species